rnacentral:miRNA from 1 species
UAGGGCGGGGAAAGGUACUGU